GUCUUGGUUGACUGGUAUCAUUUCUAAUCACCAGUGCCAGGGACCAUACUCAAUAGAAGCAGGGAAGCUGGCAGGGAGAGGCUAAAUGUCAUUUUAAAAAUCAUUAUAAUACAAUUUUAGAUUUGGAAAAAGCCAAGAAAAGAAUCUUAUCAUACAAAGCAUCCAUUGCCAUUCACAUAUUCAUUCAACAAAUAUUUCAGUUCCUUUUAGUUCAGGCUAUUCUCAAUAUUAGGAUUGUCACAGUGAACAAAAGAAAGUCCCUGUUCUCAGUAAACUUUCAUCCCACUUGGGGAGACAAAUCAUAAAUACUGUAUUAGAGUGACAGCCAGCUGCAGUGACAAACAAACCCAAAGUUUCAGAUGGCCACCGAAGGCGUCAAGACCUCAGAUGAGGCCAAAUGUCCCUACCGCCUAGCAGGACAUCCUCUUCCUAGAACUUAGAACUAAUCUCUGUGGCUGGACAAGGUGGCUCACACCUAUAAUCCCAGCAACGAGAGGGUAACGCACAAGGUCUUGGAAAAACCUGAGAUGUCAAAGAUUGACAUCCACCCUGGGCUGGGUAUGGCGGCUCAAGUCUAAUCCCAACACUUUGGGAGGCUGAGGUGGACAGAUGGCUUGAGGUCAGGAGCUGGAGAUCAGCCUGGACAACAUGAUGAAAUUGUCUCUACUAAAAAUAGAAAAUUAGCCAGACUCCCAAUGCCAGGCCCUCCACAGAAACAGAACCGCACACCCUGUGCUGCCUCAGGACAUUUGGAGGAGCAGCUCCUUCUUCCCAGGUGCUCCGUCCUCCUCUUACUCUGGCACCCUUUAGGGCUCACUUCACCAGCACCUCUUUGGGGCUCUCCUUAGGGCCCCCCCUGAGGUCAGGCUCUCCAGCACAUGUCCUCAGGAACCUGAGGUGUCCCUUUCUCAGCAUUUACCACUAUUGCAAUUAUUCUUCGGGGCGAUUUCAUUCGUGCCUUCUAUAGUUAGAUGAUAAAGUCUAUUAGGGGAAGGGUGUGGUGGCUCACACCUGUAAUCUAGUGCUUUGGGAGUCAGAGCCAAGAGGUUUGCUUGAGGCCAGGAGUUUGCGACCAGCCUGGGCAACAUAGAGAGAUCCCAUCCCUACAAAAAAAUAAUAAUAAUAGUAGCCAGGCACAGUGGCUCAUGCCUGUAAUCCCAGCACUCUGGGAGGCCGAGGUGGGCAGAUCAUUUGAGGUCAGCAGUUCAAGACCAAGCCUGUCCAACAGGGUGAAACCCCAUCUCUACUAAAAAACAAUUAGCUGGGUGUGGUGGUGUGCACCUAUAGUCCCAGCUAUUUGGGGGGCUGAGGCUGGAGGGCCUAGACCAAAAUCUGGCAUGCAAUAGGCCAAAAUAUGGACAGUAAUAUUUUGUUAAUUGAAUAGAUGAUUGCUCCCAUUUAGGAGUCAUCUUGUGUCUCCCUGGCUGUGACAUA